CCUCGCUCCGAGCUGAUAUGAGCCGGAGCAGGCCUUGCACUCCGGUGCUGUAAUGGCUCAGGAAUGCUCUUAAUGGGUACUCCACAGUAGAAUUUUUGAUAGCGGGGGGUUGCGCAAGCGCUACCCCCAC
rnacentral:snRNA from 1 species